GAUGAACGCUGGCGGCGUGCCUAAUACAUGCAAGUCGAGCGAACGGACGAGAAGCUUGCUUUUCUGAUGUUAGCGGCGGACGGGUGAGUAACACGUGGAUAACCUACCUAUAAGACUGGGAUAACUUCGGGAAACCGGAGCUAAUACCGGAUAAUAUUUUGAACCGCAUGGUUCAAAAGUGAAAGACGGUCUUGCUGUCACUUAUAGAUGGAUCCGCGCUGGAUUAGCUAGUUGGUAAGGUAACGGCUUACCAAGGCAACGAUGCAUAGCCGACCUGAGAGGGUGAUCGGCCACACUGGAACUGAGACACGGUCCAGACUCUUACGGGAGGCAGCAGUAGGGAAUCUUGCGCAAUGGGCGAAAGCCUGACGCAGCAACGCCGCGUGAGUGAAGAAGGUCUUCGGGUCGUAAAGCUCUGUUGUUGGGGAAGAACAGAUGUAUAUGUAACUGUGCACAUCUUGACGGUACCUAAUGAGAAAGCCACGGCUAACUACGUG
rnacentral:rRNA from 1 species